AAGGGCGUGUAGGCGGUAAUGUAAGUCUGGUGUUAAAUACCUCGGCUCAACCGAGGAGGUGCGCUGGAAACUGUGUUACUUGAGUGAUGGAGGGGGAGCUGGAAUUCCUGGUGUAGGGGUGAAAUCUGUAGAGAUCAGGAAGAACACCGGAGGCGAAGGCGAGCUCCUGGCCAUUAACUGACGCUGAGGCGCGAAAGCGUGGGGAGCGAACAGGAUUAGAUACCCUGGUAGUCCACGCUGUAAACGAUGUGCACUGGGUGUUGGUCCGUUGAGGAUCAGUGCCGUAGCUAACGCGUUAAGUGCACCGCCUGGGGAGUAUGCUCGCAAGGGUGAAACUCAAAGGAAUUGACGGGGGCCCGCACAAGCCGUGGAGCAUGUGGUUUAAUUCGAUGAUACGCGAGAAACCUUACCAGGGCUUUGACAUAUAUCUGACGUUUGCAGAGAUGCAGAUUUCCUUUCGGGGACGGAUAUACAGGUGUUGCAUGCUUGUCGUCAACUCGUCCCGUGAGGUGUUGGGUAAAUUCCGGCAACGAGCGCAACCCCUAUCGUUGGUUACCAUCAUUAAAUUGGGGACUCAAGCNAAACUGCCCGGUGCAACCCG
rnacentral:rRNA from 1 species